UGGAAUAAGCCCUCAGUCUGUGCCCCCUCUCAGUAGCGUUAAGGUAAUAAUUAAGAACUUCCCUUUGCUGUAUAAAGUGGUAAAAACAUAAAGCAGUAAAUCUUCCAUUAAAGUCCUUGCACAUGUCACCUAAACCAGCCUAGUAAAGUGUGCCAUGUGUUUUACUUUAAUCAGGGUUGUCCUAGUGAAUUCUUAUCAUAUUCUUUAAAGUGACCCAUGGGACGUUUGACUGCAGUCUGCUGAGGACCAGCAGGACAACAUGAGGCUGGUAAAUAUUUAAUAUAGCAUUUGUUUGGGGAAUUAGUUUUUCAGUAGCAUUAUUUAUGCUAUAAAUUUAAGUCCAUGAUUUUUACAGAAAGACAUAAGGCUAUUAAGAUCAGGAAGAAAAGUUGGAAAGCUUAGCUUCAUGCUGUAGGCUGGAGAACAAAAGUUAGGGCGUGGAUUUCAGUGGCUGUUAGUAUUUGAAGUUACUUCUGUUGGUUGUGAGCCAGCUUUGGACUGUGCCAGCAAGUUUUUUUAUUCCGUAAGAAGUGCAGCAUUUUAAGACCAUUUUAAAAUGAACUAUGUGGAAGGAGAAUAAAAUGAUACUGGUGUAUCUUUCACAGUUUCAGGAACAACUGAGUAUUCAUAAGUAUGGUGGAAGCUUCAGGGCCAAAAGAAGUUCAGCUGUGAGGUCAAACAGAUUUUCUCACAUGGAAGAUCGAUAUGCUGCUGUGCCCACCCUUGACAGAUGUCUCUGUGAGGCUAGCUCUUCCUAAUAGUGCUGCAUUUUCUAUGUCAGUCCAGAAGGGAGUGGCAUCCUAGUGGCGUCCCUAACCCUGGCUUUCCAGGUGUGAAGAUUCUGUGGCCAGGGUUAAGUGUGGCUGGCUGUAGUGGGCAAGGAACUCCCAGCUCCUGGAAGAUGGGUACCAGGCCUGGCAUGUGAGUGCUCUCUGUGGGCCAUGGCCACAGUGACCUGAAGGGACAGCGUGAGCAGGAGCUUUCUCUGACUGCUCCUCUGAGGCAGAAACCACUUCAGUGGCACGGAUUCUCCUGUUAUUGAAGAAUUUACCCUCAAGCUUUUACUGCACGCAGCCUUACUGUGAAGACUAGCCACAGCAAGCAUCAAGGUGCCUUUUGAGGCAAAGCCAGUAGCCAGAGUCACAUGGUUCAAAGAUGGUAUUGAGGUGACAGAGGAAGAGAAAGUGGUGGUGGAGAAAACCGGUAACUGUGUCAAAACUAAAACCAGCAACCUCUGAAACAGGUGUCUCAGCCUCAAGUUGUAGAUGUCAGGAAAGAAUCUGUCCCCAUCACCUGGAACUCCCCAGCCCUGGAUGGAGGCUCCCCAGUGAAAGAUUACGUUAUAGAAAAAAGAAAGAAGGGCAGCAGUCUUUGUUUCCCAGUCACCAAAGAGCCAGUCCAAGGUCAGACUAAGAUUACUAUCUCUUUUAUGUAGGCAGAAGGACAAUUAAAUAAGCUUUGAAUGAAAAGUGGAGUUUUGAUUAAUCAAGGAAAACUUAUUCAUGACAUCCAGCAAAAUACACCUUUUGACAUACGCUGUUCAAAGUGAAAUUUUCAGCCCUCAAAUAAGAAUGGCUUGAUACCCAUGAGGGGGGCAAACACUCAGCAGCUCUGAAAGUCACAUCUAUGGAUUUGGGUGCCUAAUUUCAAACAUAUUUUUUACAUUUCUCCCUAUAUAAAUUUGACUGCUUUUACCCAACUUAGACCAGAACUGAAUUAAACAAGUGACUGAUUUUGUUGUAUCCAUAUAUUGGGUUUGCAUGGCAAAGUUUUGGUCGCAGGGUAGGCUAUACGGAUGAUUUCUGUGAGAAGGUGCUAGAAGCUUCCCUUAUGUUCAGUAGAGCCAAUGCCAGGUGGCUCCAAGAGUGACCCACUGCUGGCCAAGGCUGCACAACGGUGGUAGCGCCUCUGAAACAGCAUAGUUAAGAAGGAUAAAAAGCUGCUGUGCAACAGCAACCAGAGAAGAGGAGUGAGAAUAUGUGAGAGAAACAACUCUGUAGACACCAAGGUCAGUGAAGAAGGAGGGGAAGGAGGUGUUCCAGGCACUGAAGCAGGCUGGAGCAGGCUCCUGGCAGCACAUGGGGACCCAUAGAGAGAGGAGCCCACGCUGGAGCAAGUUUGCUGGCAGGACCUGUGACCCUGUGGGGACCCAUGCUGGAGCAGUCUGUUCAUGAAGGACUGCACCCCAUGGAAUGGGCUCACACUGGAGCAGUUCAUGAAGAACUGUAGCCUAUGGGAAGAACCCAUGUUGGAGAUGUUUGUGAAGGACUGUCUCCUGUGUGAGGGACCAGACACUGGAACAGUAAUAGAGUUCAAAUUGUUCUGUGAUUCUGUUAUUCUUCUCUGAGAAGGAAGAAGCAGCAGAGACAAUAUGGUGAACUGACCACAACCUCCAUUCCCUGUCCCCCUGCACUGCUGAAGGAGAGGAGACAGAGUUUGGAAGUAAAGUUGAACCUGGGAAGAAGGGGUGCUAGAAGGUGCAUUUAAGAUUUGGUUUUAUUACUUAUUAUCCUACUCUGAUUUGAUUGGUAAUAAAUUGAGCUAAUUUCUCCAAGUCAAGUUUGCUUUGCCCAUGAUGGUAAUAGGUGAGUGAUCUCCCUGUGCUUAUUUUGACCUACAGGCCCCUCUCCAUUUGAGGAGGAGGAAUGAUAGAGCAGCUUUGGUAGGCAUCUGGUGUCCAGCCAGGGUGAACCCACCACAAUUCAUCAGAUAGCAACCAUAUGAUCCAUGCUUAGCACAGCUUGUAUGACACAUGGGAGUGUUCCUGUCAGCAGCAGUAUCUGACUAACAAGACUUUUUCUUUUCCUUUUCUGUUAAUAUUUUGGUUCUUUCUUGGGUUCUUUUUCUGUCUCAUUCAAAGUGUUGGAAUUUAAUAUUAAGUUACAAUCAAUCACACUAUCCAAGAAUAUCCUCCUUAAGAUACCAAUAUUAUUCAUGGUAAAUAAUGGAAACAGUUUUUAAGAUAAAUUAUUCAAGGGGGUUUUACCCUUUUUAUCCUGAGUGUGGUUUU